GACGAACGCUGGCGGCGUGCUUAACACAUGCAAGUCGAGCGGUAAGGCCCUUUCGGGGGUACACGAGCGGCGAACGGGUGAGUAACACGUGGGUGACCUGCCCUCAGCUCUGGGAUAAGCCUGGGAAACCGGGUCCUAAUACUGGAUAUGACUCCAUGACGCAUGUUGUGGGGUGGAAAGCCUUGUGCGGCUGAGGAUGGGCCCGCGGCCUAUCAGCUUGUUGGUGGGGUGAUGGCCUACCAAGGCGACGACGGGUAGCCGGCCUGAGAGGGCGACCGGCCACACUGGGACUGAGACACGGCCCAGACUCCUACGGGAGGCAGCAGUGGGGAAUCUUGCGCAAUGGGCGAAAGCCUGACGCAGCGACGCCGCGUGAGGGAUGACGGCCU
rnacentral:rRNA from 1 species